AUCCAGUUAACCUAGUGGUUAAGGCCAUGGAUCGCCAAUCCGGAGACGGCGGGUUCGAUUCCCGUUCUGGUUG
rnacentral:tRNA from 1 species